rnacentral:rRNA from 1 species
GAUGAACGCUGGCGGCGUGCCUAAUACAUGCAAGUCGAGCGAACGGACGAGAAGCUUGCUUCUCUGAUGUUAGCGGCGGACGGGUGAGUAACACGUGGAUAACCUACCUAUAAGACUGGGAUAACUUCGGGAAACCGGAGCUAAUACCGGAUAAUAUUUUGAACCGCAUGGUUCAAAAGUGAAAGACGGUCUUGCUGUCACUUAUAGAUGGAUCCGCGCUGCAUUAGCUAGUUGGUAAGGUAACGGCUUACCAAGGCAACGAUGCAUAGCCGACCUGAGAGGGUGAUCGGCCACACUGGACCUGAGACCCGGUCCAGACUCCUACGGGAGGCAGCAGUAGGGAUUCUUCCGCAAUGGGCGAAAGCCUGACGGAGCAACGCCGCGUGAGUGAUGAAGGUCUUCGGAUCGUAAAACUCUGUUAUUAGGGAAGAACAUAUGUGUAAGUAACUGUGCACAUCUUGACGGUACCUAAUCAGAAAGCCACGGCUAACUACGU